GCCAGAGAAGGGAGCCGAGAGAAGUUUGCGACAAAACUCUUGUUGUUUGGCAGAAGUGAUUCAGAAAACUAUGGUUUGGGAGGGGAGGGGGGUUUGGGGGGGGGGGGAGAGAAAAUUCACAUUAUCUGAUCAUAGCAGUUACGAGACGAAGUCUCCCACACUCUCCAAUAAGGGGUGCGGAGACUGGAGAGAUACAACACAAUGGACACCGCUGAAAGUGACUCAACUGAAAGCUCUCAAAGUGUGGGCUGAUAUCAGACUCUGUUCGUUUUGGGACAAAAGUCGGGACUACUGAGCAAAUAGAACAAAAAUGUGCACCGACUCGUGAACGGAAAAUCUGCGGUUUAAGAGCAGAAGGAAUCGGAAGGAUGAGACGUGAAAUUGGAG